CAAAGAAUAGUUUAGUUCACAAUCUUA
rnacentral:tRNA from 1 species